AUCUGGCAAACUUUCUUCCUUUCUCAUCGAAUCAGAAUCACUUGUGGAACGGCGUACACCUAUCAGCUUCCUUCCUGCGUUAGGGUUUCUCUCACCGAUUACUCUUCCUCGUCUGCCUUGCGGACGCCCCAUCGCGUCGUUUCCGGCCACUACAUUUUCGCGUCUGGAUUGCAGUUUGUUUAGCCGACUACAUCUUCAUAGGAUAAUUUAACAGUGGGGAAACUUGUGGAGGAUGCUGUGAGCCUAGUUCUGUCGAUUAUUAUUUUAGCUUGGUUUUAAGAUGCAUGGUCAAGGGAAUUACACAACUCAAGCUGGGCAGGCUCCUUAUGCUCCACAGCCUGCAUUUCAGCACCACCCUGUUGCCGUACCUCGUCCUCCGCCUGUCCCUCAUCACGGUCCACUUCCUCCCCCACCACAUGCCAUUCCACAAGGGCAUCCUUAUUUUCAUUUUAGACCCGGCAUUGUGGCAUAUCCGAAUACUGUACCCAGUGUUCCUCAACAGGGCCCACCGGUCCCAGCUGUAACAAGUGGAAUGAGUUCUAACCAAUCCUAUGUAACUUAUCCUCAACCUCCUCAGGGCAAUGCAGGCGCCCAAAUGUCUUGUCCCUAUCCUGCUUCCGAGCAACAACGUCAGCCGUGGAAUCAAAAUGCUCAUCAAUUUCCUCCUGCGGCACCUCUUCCUGCUCCAAGUGCUUAUCCACUGGCAUCUUCGCAAGAGCAUACUAUGGAGAGAGGCCGUUCUUUUCAACCCUCAUUUCAUGGUCCACCGCCCCCACAGCCACCGAGCAUUCCUGGGUUUUUAAGACCUGAUCCUUAUGGUCCCCCUGUCCCUCCAGUGAGACAACAUUCCUUUCCACAAUCAAUGGGGACACUUCCCCUUCCACCACCACCACCUCCUCCACCUCUGCCUUCUUCUUCCCCACCUAUAGUUCCACCACUUCCUCCAUCUUCACCCCCAUCAGAUAUUUUGUCAAAUAAUGAAGGAAGCCAGGGGAGGAUACAAGAUGGAAAUGAUUCUAUAUCGGAACACACAUCUCCCGGAAAGUCUGUGAAAGAUGGAAGCUUGCAUCAAGCUGAAGACGUACUUCCGCAUACUGAAAAAAUUGACCCUAAGGUAGAGUUUGAGGAUGCUAUUGCCACUCAUUCACCUGGUGACUCUGAUAUGGACAUGGAAGAUGAUAUUACUCUCCCUGAUGUGGAGAGGAAUGAUUCGUUAUUGAAUAACUCAAAUGAUGAGCGCAUUUCAACAUCUCAAGAUCAUCACGGGAAGGAGCACCUGCAGGACGUGCUGGAUGUUGGAACACAAUUGCUUCCUGAAGUUGCUCUUGAUGGUUCUGCUUUGCCUGAAGGAUCCCAGGAUCCAAAUGGAGGAAAGGAAAGAAAUGAACAAGCUGAACAGCGCCUGGAUGACUUAUCUUUCCAACAUGAAAAUUUCAACACACCAUCUGUACCUAUAGUUACUGAAGCAAUUGGUAAUAGUAAUCUUUCUGGUCCGGUAAAUGAAGGCACCGAUCCAUUCAGUCUUUUACAGGACUAUGCUUCUGAUGAUAGUUCUGAAAAUGAGGGUGCAAAUGUUCCUGGUGAUGGUAGUUCUCAAUCCAACAAGGAUGGACAUACGAAUCUUGAUACUGGGAAGGUGUGUAAAUUUGGUUCAGAGCUCCACAGGCAGAGUGUCUCAGAGGCCAGUAAAAAUAUACUUGUGAAUUCUGUGAAUGAAUCACCAAGCAUGAUGGAAGCAGAUAGCAUAUCUAUAGGGACACGGGAAGUCAAGGAAAUUUCUGGCAGAAGUAGUAGACGCCAAGAAUUUGAGUGUGAUCAACAUAAAGAUUCUUCAAGACAUUAUGACACUGAUAUUGGUUGUGAGGAUGCCAAAAUGUGCCCGUCAGAUAUCAAGAGUGAUGUUACUAAAUUGAAUGUAGAUGAGUUUGGUAGGUUGAUUAGAGAAGGUGUUAGUGACAGUGACACAAGUGAUUCACCACGUUAUGCACGGAAGCAAGGAAGAAGAGCUAGAAAAAGGAGUAGAAGUCAAAGUAGAAGUCCAUCUCCUCGUGGCCGGCGGAGGAGAAGAAGUCCGUGGAGGAAAGAGAGGCGUGGUCGAUCUCGCAGUUGGUCUCCAAUGAGAAGUAGGAGUAGGUCUCCUAUUGUGCAGCGUGGCAUUGAGUCCACAGGUGAUAAACCGAGACAGGAACGGGGUCAGCCUCCUGUAUGCUUUGCCUUUCUCCGAGGCAAAUGUUACCGUGGAACUACUUGCCGUUAUUCACACCAUGAUCCUGAGAAGAGUGAGAAAAAGAGAUACAGUAGAGGAAAACAGUAUCGGGAUAAGCCACAUGAAUUACGGAAUCCUGACUAUCGUGAAGAGAGUAAUGCUAUCCCUGAAAGAGAAAAACAUAUGGGUACCAGACUUCCUCUAGAAACAUUUGAUCUGAAAGAAGUAAAUGAUUCAGAUGAUCUGCCAGUUGAUUCUUCUACCCACACACUUGAAAAAGAUGAAAAAGAUUCUUCCCUUCUAGCUUCUGAUGUUUUAGGCAGCAACCUUUCACGCAAUUCUGCUCAUAAUGUAACCUCAAGGAAAGAAGAUUCUUUGACUCCAGAACCUGAGGGACCUGAUAAGAUCCAUCAAAUCAUUAAUCAGCCAGACCAACGAAGUACCGAUGCUUUAUUCUCUAAUACUCCUGUCAUGGAAGCACCAUUAACCGCACCAGCCAGUGUUCCUGCUGAUCAGCUCGAUGUAAAGGAGGCCCCUCCUGCUGUGAGUUCACUUGGAAAUCCUGUUUCAAAGCCCUAUUUCUCUCAAGAGGUUCCUUCUCGGCCUUUGGAGGAGCUGCUCCCUUCAGGUGCUACUCAUCUAUCCCAGUCAGGCCUUCCUUUACCUUCAGUCUCUCAGGUGGUGACUCUGCCUUUCACUCAGUCAGCAAUGCAAGAUUAUAACAAGAUGCCCUCAGUAUCCCAGUAUCAUUCAGCUCCAGCAAAUUAUUCACCUUAUCAAGCCCCUGUGAGUUACCAGAAUAUGCCUUUUCCUGGACUCUCAAACUCUUUGUCAAGCUCAUUUGUUCUACCACCACCUCCAUCUCAGAGUCGUAUAUCUACUAAUUUAAAUGCUCAAGAAUACACUCUACCUUCACAGCAUAUGCAACACUUGCUGCUGCCUUCACAUGAGGGUUUAUCUUCUAAUGCCUACAAGGAAAGUCUGCCAAUUGAAUAUCCUAACCGAUCUUUGACUGGUCAGUUUCAGUUGUACUCUACAAUGGGGGAGCCUGGUCAGAGGCCACAUAUCAGCAAUAUUUUUGAGUCAGCUCUAAGUAGUCGUUUGGGUGCUUCUCAUGUAAGAGGAGAAGAAUGCUUGACAGGGUAUGAAGUUCAGGAGCGGAAUCAUUCUCGAUCAUUUUCUGAGGCUCAAUCACAUUUUUCCUUGCCAAUUCAGUCUCUGCUGAGGGGAAUGCAGGGUUCUGGUGUUGGAAAUCCUCUGUCAGACGGUAGUCGACCUUACAUCCAGCAGGUUUCUCAUGGUCCACAAUAUUCUGUUGGUACUACUAUCACUGCACAGUUGACUGAAACUGGGAACACAAGUUCUUCCUUAUCAAAUGUAACCCCAGGCUUUCCUCAGAACACUCUACCUAGUUAUGUGCAUGAGAUUGUUGGAUCCCGAACUUCAAACAAUUUCAGUCCAUAUGCGCCCACUUUCAGUCAACCACUGGGCUUUAAACUUGGUUCUAAUGCUUUGACCCAGGAAAAUGAUUUAAACAAACAUGUUGGAUAUGGCGCCUCAUUUGUGUUGGCUUCAGCUUCUGGUGAUGGGCACAAGAUUGGAAGCACCAAUAUGGUGUCAUCAAAUUGUGGGUUGCCAGCUGUAAAUGUAAUACCAAGGCUUGGUGGCAAUCAGUAUGAUCCUCUCUUUGAUAGCAUCGACCCAGCUUCAAAUUCCUUUACUAGAGUUGAUCAACUAAAUCGCGAAAUUGUUGGCGAUUCUGAUGAUGUGCUUAAACUUGGUGGAUCUGGAAGGAUGUUAAACACUGAGGCCAUCAAUCAGGAAAAAGGAUUAGCUGUCUCUCUUAGUGAUUCUGUUGAAAAUGAAGAGUUUGGUGAGACAGCUGAUGCUGGGGUAGGUGCAGUGUUGAGUGGAAGUCCUUGUUAUCCGAAUGAGGCACCUGAUAUGAAUGCUGGAGAAAUUGAGAUGGAUCAGGUUAAGAAAUCUGGUAAAAAGAAAAAGAGCCAUGAGAAAUCUAUGAAACUGUUUAAGAUUUCCAUUGCUGCUUUUGUGAAAGAGGUGCUAAAGCCAUCAUGGCGCCAGGGUAAUAUGAGCAAGGAAGCAUUUAAAACCAUUGUCAAAAAAACUGUUGAUAAAGUUUCGGGAGCAAUGAAGAGUCACCGCAUACCUAGAUCCCAGACAAGAAUAAAUCACUACAUUGAUUCUUCACGGGGAAAGUUAACCAAGCUAGUUAUGGGGUAUGUUGAUAAGUAUGUCAAGGUGUGAAACCCAAUUUAGGUGACGGAUCUGCUGUCAGCCUUGACUUUGAUGCUCUUAAGUUUCCAAGUGUUUUGUCUUUGAGUGAUGCCUACCGAGAAGCUUUGCACUGGUGAUACAUCUAUGUAAAUUUAGCAAAGUAGAGGGAGUUGCAAAACUUUUACUUCCGGAGAUGACACGUGGCUAACACUUGUUAAAGUCGGGAGAAGAAAAUCAAAACUUGUUAGUUUGAGCUCUCAGAGUGCAUCACAAGAUUUAUUUGCCGUCUGCUGGACACUGGAUGGACUUCAUACACUUUUAUCUGGCUGGAUAAAAGUAAAUGUCUCUUCGAUAUGUCCUGCUUUUCCAUGCUCCACAGAUAGCCAUUCGUACUAUUGGAGAAGUUCAAGGCUUUGCUCUAUCUUCUCGUAACUGAGAAAAGCUUUUUAGACACUCUUCUCCGGUGCUCCUAUAUAGCAUUUCAGUAAGACUUGGUAAUUACUACACAUAUCAACCCCAUGGUACAAGGUACCAAUACCAUGCUCAAACAAGUUCAUCAGUAUGCUCAAGUCCUGGUGGGAUAGCAGAAUAGUUUGGCUGACAUGAUACAUUGAGUAGAAGCUGUAACAUCAAGAGAGCUCAUUGGUGGGAAAUUGUUGCAUCUGGUCAUUCGAGACUUUUUGGAGAGUAUGAGUUCCUCUCAAGUUUGGCUUAUUUCUCAUCAAGUGAUGUCGGAGCCAAGAUGGAAGAGUUUCAUGUGAUGACUACAAAUGUUAGGAAGCCUGUAGUAAUCGAAAAGCGGUGAAAUGCAACUACCCUGGAUCUUGAAGAGGGAGCAACCCAAGCAGAAGAAUGGUUCGUAAAGGUGCAAAGAAGAAGAACAGUGGACUGCAUUUUCUGAAGGAUAUGUUAUUGUUGUAAGUGAUGAAUUUGCCAUUUAACUUGAGCACGUCAAAUGGUACUAUUAGAUAGAUGAUAAUACAUUUGUGUAUUAUAUGCAUUUAUGUUUGAUAAUAUUUAGAUAUUAUGUUGAGAGAAACAAAUACUCCCUCCGUCCACAAAAAAAAGUAUACAAUUAUUUUUGGCGCGGUGUUUAAGAAAUAAUAGUAUUUUAAUUAUAGUGGGUAGUUAAAAGUAGUGUAAUGACAUUUUUGCCCUUGCCUUUUGGUGUAAAAGUAAUGAUGUGAUAUAAAGUAGGGGUAUUUGUGAAAAAAAGUAAGGUAUUUAAUGAAAUGUUUACUUUGUAAUUGGACGUCCCAAAAUAGAAAUAUGUAUACUUUUU